AACGAACGCUGGCGGCAUGCCUAACACAUGCAAGUCGAACGAGAACUUCGGGUCCAGUGGCGCACGGGUGCGUAACGCGUGGGAACAUGCCCUUAGGAUCGGCAUAACUCUCCGAAAGGGGUGCUAAUACCGGAUAAUGUUUCCGGAUAAAAGAUUUAUCGCCUUUGGAUGGGCCCGCAUUGGUUUAGCGAGUUGGUAGGGUAAACGGCUACCAAGGCGACUAUCCAUAGUUGGUCUGAGAGGGUGAUCAGCCAGACUGGGACUGAGACACAGCCCAGACUCCUGCGAGAAGCAGCAGUGGUGAAUAUAGGACAGUGGGCGAAAGCCUGAUCCAGCAAUGCCGCGUUGGUGAUGAAGGCCUUAGGGUUGUAUAGCUCUUUUACCCGAGAUGAGAAUGACAGUACCGGGUGAAUAAGCUCCGGCUAACUCCGUG
rnacentral:rRNA from 1 species